rnacentral:misc_RNA from 1 species
GAUGAAGAACGUAGCGAAAUGCGAUAAGUAAUGUGAAUUGCAGAAUUCAGUGAAUCAUCGAAUCUUUGAACGCACCUUGCGCCCUUUGGCUAUUCCGAAGGGCAUGCCUGUUUGAGUAUCAUGAACACCUCAACUCUCAUGGUUUGCCAUGAUGAGCUUGGACUCUGGGGGUCUUGCUGGCCUAUGGUCAGCUCCUCUCAAAUAAAUCAGCUUGCCAGUGUUUGGUGGCAUCACAGGUGUGAUAACUAUCUACGCUUGUGGUUUUCCAUCAGGUAACCUUCAGUGAUGGAGGUUCGCUGGAGCUCAUAAAUGUCCCUCCUCAGCGAGGACAGCUUUUUGAACGUUUGAUCUCAAAUCAGGUAGGACUACCCGCUGAACUUAAGCAUAUCAAUAAGCGGAGA